UACGAAAGGUGCAAGCGUUACUCGGAAUUACUGGGCGUAAAGCGUGCGUAGGUGGUUUGUUAAGUCUGAUGUGAAAGCCCUGGGCUCAACCUGGGAACUGCAUUGGAAACUGGCUUACUAGAGUGCGGUAGAGGGGUGUGGAAUUCCCGGUGUAGCAGUGAAAUGCGUAGAUAUCGGGAGGAACAUCUGUGGCGAAGGCGACACCCUGGACCAGCACUGACACUGAGGCACGAAAGCGUGGGAAGCAAACAGG
rnacentral:rRNA from 1 species